rnacentral:misc_RNA from 1 species
GGGCACAAGCACACACACACACAAGUACGUCGACUUCGCCCUCAAUCAACCUUCUUUUGGCAAGCCACGCACGGCUGUCCCGUCCGACCUUUCCCCUUCAUCUGCAAACUGCUUUGGUCUGCCACACCUCGUACGUCCCUUUCCUCUUUCUUCGGUUUUUGUCCUCCGCUGCUCUCUCACCCUCUUGUCGCCGCACCGGCCGACAAGACAUUUCCAGGAGCCGGUGACGACAGUGUUGUCUGUCUCUCUUUUUGCGUGUGUGUGUGUGUGUGUGUAGCGUGUGUGAUAAGCGGUGAGUCGCGUAGCGGCAAUGUUCUUUAUCUACCCCACCCCGCAGUACCCGCGUCGGGCACUGGAGUUCGUUUUCAAGUCCCUCUACAUGUUCGCCAACACCAUGCACCUGAUGAGCUUGGUAGUUCUCAUCUCUGACUUCUACACCCGCUUGAGCAACUCGAUGCCGUCGUACUACACCAACAGAGACCUCGUCAUAUCCGACGCCAUCCUUUUGGUCAUGGAGAAUUGCACCUACAAUGGAAGCAUCCAGCUGGGCAACGUCCGCGGUACGGUGGAGGUGACCGCAGGUAACAUCGGCUACGGCCUCAUGACGACGGCACAAUACGUGACGGGGCUUUUCGUGCUCGAGUUUUUGCUCCUCGUCAACAACCUCCUUGUUGCGUUCAACUACACCAAGGGCAACCGCCACCUUCGCAUCUUCGGCGUGCACGUCCCCCUCUACCACAUUACCGUGAUGAUGACGCAGGUGUACUCCAUCGCCAUUAUUGUGCUUGUCUGGGCCUUCGACGGUAAUCGGCAGCUCUUUCAGCGUGCGCUGCAGCACUGUGCGGAGCAGAUGCGGAAGACUAGCUACGAACAGCUGCUGAAGAGCGAGUUCGAUGGCUACACCAUCUUCUCCACGGCCGUGUACUGGCCGUUUGCGGCGACAUGUGUGGCCGAGCUCAUCUACGUCUCUGCGGUCAUCUUGUUGUGUUACUUCUCCAACGACGAGGGCAUCAUCUUGUUCUCCGAGGCGGACGCGCCGUGGGAGUCGCGCGGGUUCCUCUGCAACACGAGCAAGCCGCUGCUGAAGCUGCACACGGCACAGCGCAAAGCCAUCAUCGAAGACGCCCGCAACGCGAUCAAGGAGGGGCAGAAAGUGCGGAUUGUUCGCUCCUACCAACUCAUCACAGAGGAGGCCUUCGAGGCGCUUGUGCAGGCGAUGCGGGAGCAGGUGGCACGGGCCUUGAAGGAGAAGCAGUUUGAGCAGCUGAAGAGGACCUUUGGUGACAAUGAGUCGCAGUUGGACAACAUGGGGUUUGCUUGGAGGGAGAAUCUGAUGGCUUCUCACCUCGACGAAGUAAACGGCGGCGUCGGGAACGGGUUAGGCAACAGCUUCGAAGCCGCGCCGGCGGAUCAGUUCUUCAACGUUCCCUUUGAAGACUACUUCACGGACAACGGCGGCGCCGUUGGUAGGUCGGAGGUGCUUUGCAGUGUUGAUCCCCUUUCGAUCCAGGAGGGUGGCUUCGGCGAUGACGACGGCGCCUACGGCGACGGGAACAACGGCUUCAUGCUUGACCCCGCAGAUGGCGGCGGUGAAACCAUAGAUGCAUGGUCGCCGCAAGAGGGCGCGAACAUGAUGAGCACCGUUGGCGAGAUCUACGACCCGCCUCAGCCGCAACAGCACACCCAGCAUGCGUCGCGCACGAAGCACCGGAGCCGUCGCCGCCGCCGACGCGGCGAUCACAAGGAAGAGGACGAAGACUACCAGGUGGAGCCAGAUCCGCGUGACCCUUUGCAGCAGCAGCAAAGAGGCUACGGCAAGAGCGACAUCGAUGGUGAGGAUGCGUACACAAGUCCGUCAAAUUACUUUGAUGCCAAUGAUGACAUGGUGUAUGUCGCCAAUGACAUGGGAGGCAGCGGAGGCGACUACGGCUCUGGCGCCGACCCUCGCGGCAGGCUAGAUGGUACGAAUGGCAACUACCCACUCAGCACACGAGAAAGCCGGCAGCGGCAACAGAGCCGUGGGCGGCAAGCAGGGCUUGAGCAAGAGGAUGGCGUAGCCGACGAGCUCUCCGACGAGCUUGGCUGAAUACGUCUGGCAGCAACGAAAACAAUGUAGUCUUCUCUGCUUUUUUUCUCGUGCGGACAUCUCUGUCUAUGUUCGCGUCCUUCCUUAACUUCGACUCCGCCACCGCUCUCCUUUUCCUGUCUCUGCUCGAUGCCCUCCCUCUCUCUUUUGUGGAGGGGGAGGAGGAAGGGUUGCUGUUUUUUUUUUUUUUUUUACUCGCUUUCCAAAUUUAGUCGUUUGCGUUGUUUUGCUUCCCUAGAUGAGCCGCGCGCUUUCACGCUCUGCGUCUCUUUCCCUCCCCUCUCGCCUUCGCCUCUCUCACCACACACACACACACACGCCAGGGUCGAGUGCUUGCUUUUUUUUUCGCUUCCGUCUUUAUGUGCCUUGCGUAUCUUAUCAGGUUCAUUAUUUUCCUUUAGAUUUCCCUUACCCUUCCCCUCUAUAUCCCGGCCAACGCCGAUCCACCUCUGGAGGUGGCCGGGUCACGUGCAUACCGGCGCAGGGAAGUCCGAGCGAAUUAUCGCUGCGGAUGUCCGCGGCCAGGCCCUGGAUGGCGCCGCGUCGGUGCGCGCGGCGACAGUGCACACAUUUGUGUCAUCCAUGUGUUAAGCAAGGUGUCGGCGUGACUCUAACGUACCCCACCUGGCCCUCGCACUGCCUACUGGUGGUGGGGAGCCUGAGCCACUCCGUGUGAUGCGCCAGGUGGCGGCCCGCGAGGCGGGGGUGGGUGGGUAGAGUCUGAGGCAGAGGCCGUGCUCCGAUGACUGGGCCGGCAUUGCACUAGCGAGUGUGUGUCUCCCGCUGCAGUGCGCCAGGCGAUGGGGCCUGUGACAGACAGGGGAUAGAGUGGAGCCCGACUCAUGUUGUAUUGGCAGAGAAGUGGGUGCGUUGAGGAAACGAAACCAGCCCCUAGCCCUUACUCUCCUUUUCUCUCCUCACGUCCACUUCUUUACUUGAUGACGCUAUUACCGUCCUGUGAGUGUGAAACGAUCGCAUCUGUGCGCACGCACACAGGCACACACAUUGUGCGUUGGAGCUGGUUGCUUGGUUGCUGUUGGGAUCCUUCCCCCUUUGGCCCUUGCCGAGGCCAACACGAUUUUUCACCGUUUGCGGUUCCCUUCUUCGCUACACGACCCCUCUCCAAAUUAAGGAACAAAAAGAGGGGGGCCGCCGUAUGUGCAGGAACAGUGUGACGUGCGCGAGGGCUUUGGCCGUGGUCGAGUGCAUGGAGCAAAGCAGAAACAGAAAAGGAGUCGACAGGCUACCGUACAAAACAAAAAACGGUGGGCGAGGCGGUAACGCAUGCGGAGUAGAGGUACGCAGUAAUCGCACAGCUUCGUCAGCGGCUCUCCUCACGCCACUAUCACGACGCCGGUGUAGCGCCACUUGCGUCUCUCUUUGGUGCCUCUCGUGCACCACCCAUAUGAUUGUUUACUUCCCCGCCCCCGUUCGCAUCCUCCUGUUCACCUUCUGCGUUGCUUGACUGCGCAGCGCGACUCUUUCUCCCGUGUCAAAGGUACGCCGCUCAAAUCAAGGGGCAAGAGUGGGGCACAAGCAGUAACGCACGAAUGCUAAGUGCUCCUCCUCUGAGCGCUGUCGCAGAUGUUAGGCG